GUGCUCACUUCAGGAGCAUAUGUACUAAAAUUGAACAAUACAGAGAUUAUCACGGCCCCUGUGCAAGGAUGACACGCAAAUUCGUGAAGCAUUCCAGAUUUUU
ensembl:snRNA U6 U6 spliceosomal RNA